rnacentral:rRNA from 1 species
GAUGAACGCUGGCGGCGUGCCUAAUACAUGCAAGUCGAACGAAACUUCUUUAUCACCGAGUGCUUGCACUCACCGAUAAAGAGUUGAGUGGCGAACGGGUGAGUAACACGUGGGCAACCUGCCCAAAAGAGGGGGAUAACACUUGGAAACAGGUGCUAAUACCGCAUAACCAUAGUUACCGCACGGUAACUAUGUAAAAGGUGGCUAUACUACCGCUUUUGGAUGGGCCCGCGGCGCAUUAGCUAGUUGGUAGGGUAAAGGCUUACCAAGGCAAUGAUGCGUAGCCGAAUUGAGAGGUUGAUCGGCCACAUUGGGACUGAGACACGGCCCAAACUCCUACGGGAGGCAGCAGUAGGGAAUCUUCCACAAUGGGCGAAAGCCUGAUGGAGCAACGCCGCGUGGGUGAAGAAGGUCUUCGGAUCGUAAAACCCUGUUGUUAGAGAAGAAAGUGCGUGAGAGUAACUGUUCACGUUUCGACGGUAUCUAACCAGAAAGCCACGGCUAACUACGU